rnacentral:rRNA from 1 species
AUUGAACGCUGGCGGCAGGCCUAACACAUGCAAGUCGAGCGGAUGAAGGGAGCUUGCUCCUGGAUUCAGCGGCGGACGGGUGAGUAAUGCCUAGGAAUCUGCCUGGUAGUGGGGGAUAACGUCCGGAAACGGGCGCUAAUACCGCAUACGUCCUGAGGGAGAAAGUGGGGGAUCUUCGGACCUCACGCUAUCAGAUGAGCCUAGGUCGGGUUAGCUAGUUGGUGGGGUAAAGGCCUACCAAGGCGACGAUCCGUAACUGGUCUGAGAGGAUGAUCAGUCACGCUGGAACUGAGACACGGUCCAGACUCCUACGGGAGGCAGCAGUGGGGAAUAUUGGACAAUGGGCGAAAGCCUGAUCCAGCCAUGCCGCGUGUGUGAAGAAGGUCUUCGGAUUGUAAAGCACUUUAAGUUGGGAGGAAGGGCAGUAAGUUAAUACCUUGCUGUUUUGACGUUACCAACAGAAUAAGCACCGGCUAACUUCGUG